rnacentral:rRNA from 1 species
UACGUAGGGUGCGAGCGUUGUCCGGAAUUAUUGGGCGUAAAGAGCUCGUAGGCGGUUUGUUGCGUCGGCUGUGAAAACCCGAGGCUCAACCUCAGGCCUGCAGUCGAUACGAGCAGACUAGAGUGUUGCAGGGGAGACUGGAAUUCCUGGUGUAGCGGUGAAAUGCGCAGAUAUCAGGAGGAACACCGGUGGCGAAGGCGGGUCUCUGGGCAACAACUGACGCUGAGGAGCGAAAGCGUGGGGAGCGAACAGG